rnacentral:lncRNA from 1 species
GUUCUGCAUGUCACAGAGGAAGUAGGCAUAUUUGAGGAAGACUUUCUCAAGGAUUUUUUUCAGAAGUUACACGGAAUAUGUCUGCCUCUCCUGUCUCACCUCCUUCACCUCUUCCACCUCUGCCACCCUGAGACAGCAAGAAAAACUCCACCCUUUUUUCCUCUUCCUGAGCCUAUCAACAUGAGGACAAUGGGAAUGAAGAUUUUAUGAUGAUCCACACCCACUAAGUGAAUAGGUCUCACCACUGCAGCCAUCAUCAAAAGUGGUUAUUACCAAGACUAGAUUGCAGCUCCGGACAGAGCAGCUGGCAGGGACUCAUAUUGUGAAUUGCAGCUCCAGCUCGACUGCAAGAACAAACCAGCAAUCCCGAGAGGACCCACAGACCCUCUAAAGGAAGUGGACUGCUCCUGCAGGACCUGGGAGACACCCCAAAUAUUAUCUAUAAACUCAAUUUUAGGAAGUCAAGUAUCUUCCCGAAAGUCACACAAGUAAAGAUGGACUUGGGUCUCUAAUCCAUUUGUUUGACUUCAAAACAUGUUAUCUCCAUUCCACUACCUCUUCUGUUCAGUGGAAUGAAAGAGGUUAAAACAGUUCACAGGGUCCAUGGAGUGAAUGAAAAAUGAAAAUGGGAAGAUAAAAUACAGAUUAUAGUUUUCAAGGAUUGGAGCUGGAAGGAGUUGCCUGUUUGAGAGCUGUGUUAAGGUCUGAGAAACAUGUGCAUGUUGUGCACUGCAAGAAAGGAAUCAAGAGGAAGGAGAGGAUGGAGAUAUAGAAGAUGAAAAUCAGCCAGAGUAACAAGGCUCCAGGAAAGCCACAUGGCUAUGUGCAUCCCUUAGAGAAACAAAUUGGAAAAAGGGAUGAGAAAACUGCUGCUCAGAACGUUAAAGGGACUUAUCCAAACUCAUGAGAUAAGUAAAAGGCAGAACAAAGUUUUAAAUCAGCUCUCACUGGUCCUAAAGCCUGUACUUAUUCCACAGUACUAUUGGAAAACAGAGGAGUGCCAAACAAGUGACUCACCUAAAUCAAUGCUGAAGACACACAGAAUAUUGAAGGAUCAACUCUACUUCUUCGAAAUAUACUUUAAUACUUUCACUGCCAAACCAGAGUUCAAGAAAUAACUGCGGUGGAAUGAUAAUGAGAAGUUUAACAGUUUUAUGAUGGUUGAAGCUGACUUUAUGAAAGUUGAUAAAUUUCAUCUUGUAGGUUUCAAUUUCUCAUUCCCUACCGAGAGAUGGGGAGAAUACAUUGACACUGCAUUUCAAAUUGGCUAGAUCAGAAGGAACAGCAGCUAAAAUCCAUUACAACCCAAUUACAUCCAUCAGCUGAAGCUGUGUGCAUUCACUUGUGAACAUCAGCAUUUAAUCCAUAAAGAGGAACUAAUGAGAAAUUUGAAAAUGGAAUCCACGCAUCAGUAAGUUUAGAGAGAUUUUUCUGGGAUUAAUGAUCUGCCAGAGCAUCUUCAGCAUUCUGGAAAGCUAUUCUCUCUGGGUUUGUUUACUGACCAAGAGAAAAAAAAAGGGGGUUUCCUUCUGUCUGCUCAUCAAAUAUUUGAAAGACUACUCAUUUCAGUCCUUGAAAAUGGGAUACCGUGAGCUUUGGAAGUAAGGUACGUGUUGGUGAACACUGUUGUCAUUGAACAGGAAAAAUUAAAUUAUUAGGUGAGAAGUUUCCACCUAGAGAUUAGUAACAAGUAGCCUGAACAAAUUAUUUUACCUGUAUAGAUGCUAAGACAGAUGUGUUCUUUUAAUUUAAGACCUGAGAGCAUGUUUAGAGUUGCACGUAAUGGCAAUAAUUCUAUGUUGUAGAAAUAGAGAAAUAGUUUUUAUUUUUCACUUUUGGUGAUUGCAUGGAUAGAAAUAAAUAUUCCUCUUGUCGAAUUGCAAUUGCUUAAAGAGUAACAAGGAAGCUUAGAGAGAGUAGAGUAUAAACUUGUUAACAAUUGCAUAACUUCACAUGUACAAUUUCUGAGUUAAUAAACAUAUAGUUUGUGAAAAGUUAACACUGGAUGAAGCUUUAGAAUGCUGUGCAAUUUCUUCUCAUCUGGUGAAAACGGUUUCUGUAAGCAUACAAUUUAGGGAUGUUACUAUAUCCGAGGUCUGGCAAAUGUAGUCAUCAGAUUAAAUAAAUGUAUAUGUGGACUGUGGGGGAUUGGAUCCCCAUGUUUGGAAAGUAAUUUGGUUCAAUUUGUUGCUCUUUGGAGAGAAGGUAAG